rnacentral:rRNA from 1 species
UACGUAGGUGGCAAGCGUUGUCCGGAAUUAUUGGGCGUAAAGCGCGCGCAGGUGGUUCCUUAAGUCUGAUGUGAAAGCCCCCCGGCUCAACCGGGGAGGGUCAUUGGAAACUGGGAGACUUGAGUGCAGAAGAGGAUAGUGGAAUUCCAAGUGUAGCGGUGAAAUGCGUAGAGAUUUGGAGGAACACCAGUGGCGAAGGCGACUGUCUGGUCUGUAACUGACACUGAGGCGCGAAAGCGUGGGGAGCAAACAGG